rnacentral:rRNA from 1 species
UACGUAGGGACCGAGCGUUGUCCGGAAUCAUUGGGCGUAAAGCGCGUGUAGGCGGUCCGGUAAGUCCGCUGUGAAAGUCGGGGGCUCAACCCUCGGAUGCCGGUGGAUACUGUCGGGCUUGAGUACGGAAGAGGCGAGUGGAAUUCCUGGUGUAGCGGUGAAAUGCGCAGAUAUCAGGAGGAACACCAAUUGCGAAGGCAGCUCGCUGGGACGUUACUGACGCUGAGACGCGAAAGCGUGGGGAGCAAACAGG